UUGACGUUAAUUCGACAUCUGGGGCAGAGCUGUGCAUCUGAUUAUUAUUCAGCUCACCACAACUAAUAUUUUAAUUGUUUCUCAUUGUGCUUCGGUUAGAAUUAAGAAUGAUAUUGUCUUUUCAAACGAGCGAGAGGGAACACGGCAGCAGCUCGAGAUGCAGGCGCGGCGCGACACGAGUCGCGUGUAAACACCGCCAGCUGCUGGCUGCGGACAGCUCUGGGCUGCUCGGUUGACCACCCACACCGCCGACACACACACAGACACACUCUCGUACAAUCGACAGAAAUGAAUGCGGACUCACAAGAACUCCUACCACCAGUAUUAAACUACCAGCAUUGAAGAAAAUGAGAAAUUAGAUUUGUACUUAUUGAACUGAUGAUAAACAAUUGAUUCUUG